GCGCGGGUGGCGAAAUGGUAGACGCGGGGGACUUAAAAUCCCCUUCGGGCAACCGAGUGCGGGUUCGAGUCCCGCCCCGCGCA
rfam:Gemmatimonadetes bacterium SCN 70-22 ABS52_C0004, whole genome shotgun sequence.